rfam:Trichobilharzia regenti genome assembly, scaffold: TRE_scaffold0008114
GUACUUCUGAAGAGUCCCAAACUGGGUUGACGAAACAGCUGUCCAGUAC